GGAAACACUUGUUUGAGCGUUCUAAUCCAAACAACAAUCUUUUUCCUCAACUUAACUAGUUGUUUUAGUGCUGCAUAACGCUCACUUUGUCUUACCUAAACUUAACCGUAAUCUCUGCCGAAACACUCACAACUCGCGGUGCUCUGUACCCGGCUCAGUCACCUGUUUUUGGUUAACUCAACCACCAACUACCGCUUAUACAACGGAGCACCAUGCGGAGCAUCGUAGUCGGCGCCGCAGAGCUCUGUAGCGGCUAAACACAUCUACUAAAUGCCGCUGAUACAACCGAGCUGUGACUGAGGACUGUAGCCGGCGGCAGGAAGCUCUGUAGCGGCUUAAACAGCUAGCAACUGCCGCUCUGCACCAUUGAGCUCUGUACCCGAUGUCACAUGACCCGC